AGAGUGUAAAAUGAUGAAAUAGUUUAUUUCUUGAAUGAAAGUAAUACAUUGGAGUAAAACUUAACUCUAUUUUGGAGUGGGAAAUGGAGUAAUACAUUGGAGUAAAACUUAACUCUAUUUUGGAGUUACUCCAUUUUAGAGUAGAAAAUGGAGUAAUACAUUGGAGAUGCUCUAAACCUGUUUUUGGGACAGAGAGAAAUAACCAUGGAAGGACUUGCUUACCCUCAUGAUGAAUCGCUUGGAAGUUAUAAGGAGCUUACACCACUUGUAGAGCAGAUUUCUAGAGAUCCGACCGAAGCUGGAUACAAGUUGUGCAUCUUAAUGUGCUCAGCUCACAAAGAAAAUAUUAUGAAUGAGUUUGUAUCCAGUGAUCAUGUACGCUUGAGACUGCUUCUUUGGGGAGCUAUUAAAAAUUUGACGCUCUCAGGACGUGACCUUAAAGAAGUUUCUAAACCAAUAACAAUCAAACCAAAAAUGAGCAGCAUUACAAAUUUCUUAUCGAACCAGCCUAUCUGUUUUCAUCAGUUGAGUUUUGAAUUGUGUAUAAAAGAAUAAACUAAAUUAAGUAAAAAAUCAUACUCUAUAAUUUUAGUUUGACUAUAAUAUAAGGAAGAUAUUUUUGAAAAAGGUUUUCAUCCUUUACUAGAAGUUACCUUUUGUGUAUGUUUGGGUUUCUAUAUGUAGUCUAAACAAAGAGGGAUUUAUGAAAGAAAAAAAAGGCUGAGCAAAGCAAAUAUCAUAGCUAGGAAGUAUCAUUCAAAAAAAAAAAAAUCAAAGUACAUAUCACCAUGAAGACUUUAAUCGUAUUUGUUUUUGCUGCUAUGUUCUUCAUAUCCUCGAUUCACUAUGGUGCAACAGCCGCUACUACUCCAAAUCUGAAGGAUAUCGAAUGCUUCAGCGGAACAGAAGCAUGCUUCUAUGGAGGCGACAGAAUCUGCACUGCAUUUUGUAAAGAACAUAAUUUUUUUUAUGGUUUGUGUACUCCUCAUGCAUGUUGUUGUCAUAUCCCAACAGGUUCGAGAUGAAAUGAGCUAAUCAUAUGUUUUGUAAUAUCUAUACAUAUGAUCUCAAUCGAAAUCAAUAAAAUCUAUUAAAGUUGUUAGA